GGACUACUAGGGUUUCUAAUCCUGUUCGCUACCCAUGCUUUCGAGCCUCAGCGUCAGUUACAGACCAGAGAGCCGCCUUCGCCACUGGUGUUCUUCCAUAUAUCUACGCAUUCCACCGCUACACAUGGAGUUCCACUCUCCUCUUCUGCACUCAAGAAAGACAGUUUCCGAUGCUAUUCCUCGGUUAAGCCGAGGGCUUUCACAUCUGACUUAUCUUUCCGCCUGCGCUCGCUUUACGCCCAAUAAAUCCGGACAACGCUUGCCACCUACGUAUUACCGCGGCUGCUGGCACGUAGUUAGCCGUGACUUUCUGGUUGAUUACCGGCAAAUAAUGAGCAGUUACUCUCACUAUCUUUCUUCACCAACAACAGAGCUUUACGAUCCGAAAACCUUCUUCACU
rnacentral:misc_RNA from 1 species